rnacentral:rRNA from 1 species
GAUGAACGCUGGCGGCGUGCCUAACACAUGCAAGUCGAGCGAACCUUUCGGGGUGAGCGGCGGACGGGUGAGUAACGCGUGGGUAACCUGCCCUAUACACACGGAUAACGUACCGAAAGGUACGCUAAUACGGGAUAAUGUUUUUGGAUGGCAUCAUCUAACAAUCAAAGCUCCGGCGGUAUAGGAUGGACCCGCGUCUGAUUAGCUAGUUGGUGAGGUAAUGGCUCACCAAGGCGACGAUCAGUAGCCGACCUGAGAGGGUGAUCGGCCACACUGGAACUGAGACACGGUCCAGACUCCUACGGGAGGCAGCAGUGGGGAAUAUUGCACAAUGGGCGAAAGCCUGAUGCAGCAACGCCGCGUGAGCGAUGAAGGUCUUCGGAUCGUAAAGCUCUGUCCUCAAGGAAGAUAAUGACGGUACUUGAGGAGGAAGCCCUGGCUAACUACGUGCCAGCCGCCGCGGUAA